UACAGAGGUCUCAAGCGUUGUUCGGAUUCAUUGGGCGUAAAGGGUGUGUAGGUGGCGCCGUAAGUCGGGGUGUGAAAUUUCGGAGCUUAACUCCGAAACUGCAUUCGAUACUGCGGUGCUUGAGGACUGGAGAGGAGACUGGAAUUUACGGUGUAGCAGUGUAAUGCGUAGAUAUCGUAAGGAAGACCAGUGGCGAAGGCGGGUCUCUGGACAGUUCCUGACACUGAGACACGGAAGGCCCAGGGGAGCAAACGGG
rnacentral:rRNA from 1 species